UCUGUAUCCGAGACCCGACCCGAUCACCCGACUCCCCGACUCCCCGAGCCAGACGAUUGACCGUUGACGUCAUUGACGAACAGUUAUAUACGCGACGAGGAAGGAGGUGUGCUACUGUGCCGAGCCGAGAUUUUGAGAAUGAUGACUGGGAGAAUUAAGAUUCUGCACCUAUCAUCAAGACUUAACAAAAUAUGGAAUUUUGAAAUAAGUGCUAUGUGCCGUCCUCUUUGUCGAGAAGCUUGCACAUAUAGAGCAAGCAACCAGAAGAAUGUUGUACAAACAAACCAGUCAUUGCAAGAAGCACCUGCCAAGAUGCUCUUCACAUCAGCAUUCUGUAAGUCCACUAUGUCUGUGGCCACACACCAACCAGGAAAACUGAAGAAAAUACUCAAGAAGAUGGGAUGGCUGGAUCACUCAAAAAGUAAACUGAAGCGAUCUGGAUAUCAGCUUUAUGAAAAAGUUUGCGAGAGAGUUUUGACAUCUGAUUUCUUCACAGGUAAGAUUGAUGUUACAAGGUAUCAGGGA